GUGUAUAUAGAGGUGGUGUGUGUAUAGUGUGUAUAGAGGUGGUGUGUGUAUAGUGUGUAUAUAGAGGUGGUGUGUGUAUAGUGUGUGUAUAGAGGUGGUGUGUAUAUACUGUGUAUAUAGAGGUGGUGUGUGUAUAGUGUGUAUAGAGGUGGUGUGUGUAUAGUGUAUAUAGAGGUGUUGUGUGUAUAUAGAGGUGUUGUGUGUAUAUAGAGGUGUUGUGUGUAUAGUGUAUAUAGAGGUGGUGUGUAUAUAGAGGUGGUGUGUAUACAGAGGUGGUGUGUGUAUAUAGAGGUGGUGUGUGUAUAUAGAGGUGGUGUGUGUAUAUAGAGGUGGUGUGUGUAUAGAGGUGGUGUGUGUAUAGUGUAUAUAGAGGUGUUGUGUGUAUAUAGAGGUGUUGUGUGUAUAGUGUAUAUAGAGGUGGUGUGUAUAGAGAGGUGGUGUGUGUAUAUAGAGGUGGUGUGUGUAUAUAGAGGUGGUGUGUGUAUAUAGAGGUGGUGUGUGUAUAGUGUGUAUAGAGGUGGUGUGUGUAUAUAGAGGUGGUGUGUGUAUAGUGUGUAUAGAGGUGGUGUGUGUAUAGGGUGUAUAGAGGUGGUGUGUAUAGAGGUGGUGUGUGUAUAGUGUGUAUAGAGGUGGUGUGUGUAUAGUGUGUAUAUAGAGGUGGUGUGUGUAUAGUGUGUAUAGAGGUGGUGUGUGUAUAGUGUGUAUAUAGAGGUGGUGUGUGUAUAGAGGUGGUGUGUGUAUAGUGUGUAUAGAGGUGGUGUGUGUAUAGUGUGUAUAUAGAGGUGGUGUGUGUAUAGUGUAUAUAGAGGUGGUGUGUGUAUAGUGUGUAUAGAGGUGGUGUGUGUAUAGUGUGUAUAUAGAGGUGGUGUGUAUAGAGGUGGU
rnacentral:lncRNA from 1 species